rnacentral:rRNA from 1 species
CGCGUAGGCGGUUUAAAAAGUCAACUGUGAAAUUCCGGGGCUCAACCCCGGAACUGCAGGUGAAACUUUUAGACUUGAGGAUAGACGGAGAAAAUGGAAUUCCACGUGUAGCGGUGAAAUGCGUAGAUAUGUGGAAGAACACCAGUGGCGAAGGCGGUUUUCUAGUCUAUACCUGACGCUGAGGCGCGAAAGCAAGGGGAGCAAACAGGAUUAGAUACCCUGGUAGUCC